CUACUCCUCCCUUCACUUUAAGACUCUCUCCUUUGCAUUUUCUUUCUUCUUUUCAAUUCAACCACUAGUUAUAUAUAUAUAUAUAUAUAUAUAUAUAGCAUUUCCUAUACAUUAGUACUUAUUUGCAAUAUGAAAUGGAUGCUUCAGAUCCAAGUCUGAAAGGGAACAAGUGAAGCUGCCAGCAUGAUCUAAACUUGGCCAGUUAAUUAUACAUAAAUAAGAGAAAUGGAUAUGGCCAAGGUUAGGUCAUGCUUUGACAGCCUCACUCCUUCCUCUUUUGACGACUCAACGGAUUCUGGAAAGCAUAAUAUUAAUUUUCUAAAAACUGAGUUUGACCGAGCAACAAGGAAAUCACUGUUUAAGAGGAGAAGGAAAGGUGGUCAAGGAGUAAUUGAGUCUUUCACACCUACUCCUCUCCAGCUGCCCUGUCCACCCUUGGAUCUCUCCCCUCAGUUUUCGCUCUAACAUUUUGCGUGCAAAUGUAUAACCGAAGAAUAAUGGAGAUCAUACACUGAAUAGAGUACUAUUUUAAGUGUUUAUUUUAUGUUGAUGAGACACAGAUCGGACCUUUGGAAUCAGAAAAGAGAAGAGUUAUAAGGUAGAAGAGGAUUUUACGGCAAGGACUAAUUCCUAGGGAUUAUGGAUUCAGAAUUUAUAUUGGAUUGAAAAUGGAAGCUUGGUUCAAUUUAGUAAUUGUACUUAUUUAAAUAAUACAUGCAUUAAAAUUGUAAAUAAUUUUUACAAAAGAAGUACUGUCAACAUUCCACAGUGGUGGAAUGCGAAAGUUCAGGUUGGAUUGAAAAGGCUAUAGUUUCAGUUGAA